UGGUUCUGGCAUCGAUGAAGAACGCAGCGAAAUGCGAUAAGUAAUGUGAAUUGCAGAAUUCAGUGAAUCAUCGAAUCUUUGAACGCACAUUGCGCCCGCCAGUAUUCUGGCGGGCAUGCCUGUUCGAGCGUCAUUUCAACCCUCAAGCCCCGGCGGCUUGGUGUUGGGGACCGGCACAAGGCGGCGGGAGGCACCUGCCCCCCGUUGCCCGCCGCCCCCUAAAUGACUUGGCGGUCUCGCUGCAGCCUCCUCUGCGUAGUAGCACAACCUCGCAACGGGAGCGCGGCGCGGCCACUGCCGUAAAACGCCCAACUUUUUGUUCUCAAGAGUUGACCUCGAAUCAGGUAGGAAUACCCGCUGA
rnacentral:misc_RNA from 1 species